AGUGAACGCUGGCGGUAGGCCUAACACAUGCAAGUCGAACGGCAGCACAGUAAGAGCUUGCUCUUACGGGUGGCGAGUGGCGGACGGGUGAGGUAUACAUCGGAAUCUACUUUUUCGUGGGGGAUAACGUAGGGAAACUUACGCUAAUACCGCAUACGACCUACGGGUGAAAGCAGGGGAUCUUCGGACCUUGCGCGAUUGAAUGAGCCGAUGUCGGAUUAGCUAGUUGGCGGGGUAAAGGCCCACCAAGGCGACGAUCCGUAGCUGGUCUGAGAGGAUGAUCAGCCACACUGGAACUGAGACACGGUCCAGACUACUACGGGAGGCAGCAGUGGGGAAUAUUGGACAAUGGGCGCAAGCCUGAUCCAGCCAUACCGCGUGGGUGAAGAAGGCCUUCGGGUUGUAAAGUCCUUUUGUUGGGAAAGAAAAGCAGCAGGUUAAUACCCCGCUGUUCUGACGGUACCCAAAGAAUAAGCACCGGCUAACUUCGUG
rnacentral:rRNA from 1 species